AAAGAAUAGUACGGAGUUUUCAGGAGGCUGUGAGUGGAAGUACUGUACUAAAAGGAACGAAAAAACUGACUAAACUGGCAGCUACAAGGUUGAAGAAACAGGAGGCCCAAUACAAGAAAGAAGUGAACAGAAUCCUCAGGGAUGAUGGUGAUAACGACUUGUUCUAGAACUAAAAUCCCCAAAGAUAAAACUAUUGGUACACUUGAUGCUUCAGUGUAUUAAGAGGAGAUUUAGACAAACAGGGGAGAGUUUCAGGAUCAAGUUCUAUGUACUAAAUACAUAGAAAACAAAACAAAACAAAAAAACAGAAAACAAGCAUUAACACGGAGUACAGUAAUCUCCUCUUAUCUGAGGUUUCAGUUACCCACAGUCAACUGCAGUCCAAAAAUACUAUAUUGAAUGGAAAAUUCCAGAAAUAGACAAUUUAUGCCUUAAAUUGCACGGUGUUGUGAGUGGCAUGAUGAAACCUAGUGCCAUCCUGUUCAGUCCCACCAAAAUGUGAAUGAUCCUUUUGUCCACUGUUUCCACACUGAUAUGCCACCUAUUCAUUUGUCACUUAGUAGCUGUCUCAGUUAUCAGAACGAUUGUCCCUGUAUUGCAGUUCUUGUGUUCAAAUAACCUUUGUUUUACUUAAUUCUCCAAUUUUAUUGUUAGCUAUUUAUUGCUGUUAAUCUCUUACUGUGCUUAAUUUACAAAUUAAAAUUUAUCAUUGGUAUGUAUGUAUAAGACAAAACAUUGUAUAUACUGUAUAGGGUUUGGUACUAUCAGUGAUUUCAUGCAUCCACUGGUAUUUUGCAAUGUAUCCACUGUGGAUAAGGGGGGACUAUUGUACAAUAAAGAAAUUAUUGAAUAACACAAUACUAUUUUCAGCUACAAAUAGUAUUUAUGCAUUCAUAAUUCUGUAAAUACAGAAUACUGAUCUAACCAAAGUUAUAACUACAUUGGGAGAGUAGACCAUAGGAAGUAUGGGGGGAACGUGGUAGUGAGGGUAUAAAAGAUUGAGGACAGCAACAUCUUUAUUUUCAUGGUGAGAGGUCAAUAUAUAAGGUCUAAAACUAAAAACAUCAGGAAAUAGCAGUAUAAGCAUGUCAUGCAGAUAAACAAAUGACAAAAGGAAUAUAGUUUCUU
rnacentral:lncRNA from 10 species